rnacentral:rRNA from 1 species
AUUGAACGCUGGCGGCAGGCCUAACACAUGCAAGUCGAACGAGUGGCGGACGGGUGAGUAAUGUAUGGGAAACUGCCUGAUGGAGGGGGAUAACUACUGGAAACGGUAGCUAAUACCGCAUACCAUCAGAUGUGCCGAGAUGGGAUUAGCGUGUUGGUGGGGUAACGGCUCACCAAGGCGACGAUCCCUAGCUGGUCUGAGAGGAUGACCAGCCACACUGGGACUGAUACACGGCCCAGACUCCUACGGGAGGCAGCAGUGGGGAAUUUUGCACAAUUGGCGCAACCCUGAUGCAGCCAUGCCGCGUGUAUGAAGAAGGCCUUCGGGUUGUAAAGUACUUUCAGCGGGGAGGCGUUACCCGCAGAAGAAGCACCGGCUAACUCCGUGCCAGCAGCCGCGGUAAUUC